ensembl:lncRNA
CACCUGGUUAUGGUGGGUCCAUCCAUCUUCCCUAAUAUCAUUUCCUACCUCUCAAAGUUAUCUACAUUCUCUCCCCUCCUAUGAAAAAAGGGUGAACAAGUAUCUAGAACUUACUGAACUAUCAGGUAUUCCCCCUAUCCACUUCACUCCCAUGCACAAUAAAUAAAUUUGCACAUCUUUUUCUCUUGCUAAUCUGUCUAUUGUUAAUUAGUUCCAGCAAACCUUCAGAAGGGGAAGCUUUCCUUCAGCCUGCUACUACUUCAUCUCCAAUUCUCACAACAAUUUUGAUGGUGGAUUUUAUUAUGCCCAUUUUGUAGAUAAGAAAAUUAGGUCUAAAGAUCCAGGCAACUUUCUUGAAGUACCUGCUGGUAAUGAAGAUUUAUCUGACAGUUAAACCUGCAUGUGUCUACCAAAUUAUUCUGUUUGGUUGAGUCUUAAGUUUUUAGAUGUUAAUGUCUGUCUCAGUUAAGGAACAGGGAAAGUCAUUAUUUUCCACAAUUUAUACGGAAAACCUAGCACACAUCCAACAUUCUCUGGGAAAGGAAGAGGAAGGCUUUCAUAUCAGAUGUUUUGGAAAGAAGGUAAAUGUGGAAUGAGCUGGAAGUUCUAGAUGGGAACUUUCCAAAAGCACUUUUAUUGAUUCUUAUUGAAUAUUCAUGAAGCUGAAGCUUUCUGUCUCUAAUUGCCCAAACUCCCAGGCUGGCACAUUGCAGUCAGUGGUUUUCUAGUUGUUUUCCUAAGGGUUUGGUAGGAAUGUUUUUGCUGCAUUUGGCAGUGUGUGUGUGUGUGUGUGUGUGUGUGUGUGUAUGUGUGUGUGAAAAGCAUCGACAGACCCUGGGUGUGUGGGGAGCGCUGCCUUCAGGGGCUGUUUGCUCUGGAUUCCUUCCAGAAUGCCGGGCUCCUCCUGGAUGACUCCUCCUUACAAAGGCAGAAGGCUCGCUCCUCUGCAGGGAUUGUUCCAUUCACUACUCACCCCGCUGGUUUAUUUGGGUUUUGACCUCGGGGUGAUCUGGAAGCGCCCAGAAAAACUUAAAGCGAUUCGACCCUUUUGCUCUUUCCACACCAAAGAAAGCCUCCUAAGCAGCUUCCAAAGAAGCAGGGAGAAAUGUUUGGCUGGGCCAGCUGUAUCCUGCCUGCCUUUCCCACAAAGUUCAAGAGGUUAUUUGGUCAGUGACUCCCUCCUGCCACCUGUUCUGCAGGACUGCUGCCACCCAGAGAGUUUAAAGGAAGCCACCUUCCAGCUACCCUUGGGAAGUGUCCAAAACGAAAUGGGGUCCCACCCACUUAAGAGAGGGAGAGAGUGUGCCAGUGAGUUGAAACAUUAAGGAAAUACACAGCCCACUUACACGGCACACUCUGAGUCUUACUUUAUUUACUGGGUGGGAGUUAUUGUCCCAACACAGGGCUCAGAAUGCUUCAGACUGGCUUUCUGGAAACACAGUUCAGGGUCCUUUCUCUCUCAGCUGUAAUAAUAUUCACCACGAUGUGAAUUCUACCAACAUCUUUCAGCCUGAGAGGAAGUUUAGCUUGGCUGAUUUAAACUUAAAGUGGAUAAAGAAGAGUUUUUUCCUUGUUCUUCUGGACAGGCUGCAGUUUUGAAUUAGAUAUUAUAACUACUU